UUUCUGUGACAUGUUUUCAUGGUGUGGGAAUAAGACUUGGUGGUCUAAUACAGCUAAUACUUAGGUUAGCAUCACAGCUUGUCUGUAAGGAUUGAAGCUGGGAAUGGACAUUUGAGCUGACUUUUAAUGGUAACUUUUACUGUGGCUGCAUAAAGAUGAUUGUGUGAUAUAAAUGUAAUCGUGAAAAAUGUAAUUCAGACAAUUUUUGUGUAUGUUUGAGAAAAUGUUUAUAAUUUUUUACAAAAAAAAAAAUAUGUAAAGAUUCUCCAUUUUCAACAAGAUUGGAAGUUGUAGUUUAA